GUUGAAGUUGGAUUUUGAGCUUAUAGCUUGCUAACCGAAGACUAGAUCAUGAUACUAUCAAACAACAAUGACUAUAGGCAAGAUAUAUAGAGUAGGAGCAGCUUGCAUAUUUGUUAUAGAUAGAUGCAUCUUUCAAUAUAAGAGACUUUUCUUGGUUAAUCGAUGUUAGGAAGAAUCUCAAUGCUAGCUAAGUGCAUUGAAACUUUUUUAGCCAUAUGAUCUACUUUUGAUCGUUUUAUAUAUGAUUUGUAGCAUAACUAAAAUUGUUAAUAGCUAUGUAAAUUCAAAAAACACGGGGUGCACCGAAAGGGUUAUGUCUAUGCGUAUAUCAACUUUGUAAAUAUUAUAGAAUGAUUGUGUUAUGUAUCUUUAACGAAUACAAAUUUUACAAAAUUUAC
rnacentral:lncRNA from 1 species